CGGGGUUGGGGCCGAAGAGAAACUAUUUUUAUUCAAAAAUUUCUUUUUACCCAACCAACUUAAGCCCAGAAAAUUAAAAUACCCAACCAUCUUUUGGUUAAUUUUUUUUUUACCCAACCCUAGGAAAAAAUAUUGUUUAUUAAAUGUGUUUAAUACUAACUUACGACAAUGGGCCAUUCCAUUUAAUAUAGGCACCCCCCUAUGGAAGGGACCCUUCAUAAUCCCCUUAGGAUAUAAAAAAUUUAGAACCCCCUUGGAUGCAAUUUUUGGAAGUUACCCCAUGGAUUUCUUUAUACCCCCUUUAGGAUAUCGUUUUUACCCCCUUGGAUAUCACGAAAAAUUCUUGCUAUUUUUUUUAAAUUUCUUAAG